rnacentral:lncRNA from 1 species
UCAUUCCCUAAAGGUUUGAACUGAGGUAUGCGUACUAACAGUUUCUCAUGCUGUUAACUUUACUCAUGUCUAGCUACACAUGCUGAGAAUGAACUAAUCUACCAGAUUUUUAUCCUCUUUUGAAUACCAAACUAACCAGCAACCACUCCGUUCAGAAGCUCAGGGCCCCCUUCCCAUGACCCUGUCUGGCUACUGCCUGCACAUCAUGACGCUGCCUGGAAAAGUUGGGGAAAAAAAAAAUGUAAGUCUCGAGUGACCACAGACUGCCCUUUAUAGAGAAAGCAGUGUGAAGCUUCAAAAGUAACUGCCAAAGAAGUUUUUCUACCAAGCUUGUGAGUGGACAGGAAUGUUACAAAUGUCUUCUAGAAAUACUAUUACACGGUCUAGUUCAAUUGUGGAAGCUUUUUUGUUCUCUCUGAAUUUUACCUUCAUUUUACCAUAACUGUCUCCUGGACUGGACACCCCCUAAGUUUCA